rnacentral:rRNA from 1 species
GAUGAACGCUAGCGGCAGGCUUAACACAUGCAAGUCGAGGGGCAGCACGAGUAGCAAUACUUGGUGGCGACCGGCGCAAGGGUGCGUAACGCGUGAGCAACAUGCCUGUAUCAGGGGGAUAAUCCAGGGAAACUUGGUCUAAUACCCCAUAGCAAUUGAAGGAGGCAUCUUCUUUGAUUUAAAGCUUUGGUGGAUACGGAUUGGCUCGCGUGACAUUAGCUAGAUGGUAAGGUAACGGCUUACCAUGGCUACGAUGUCUAGGGGUUCUGAGAGGAAGGUCCCCCACACUGGAACUGAGACACGGUCCAGACUCCUACGGGAGGCAGCAGUGAGGAAUAUUGGACAAUGGAUGGAAAUCUGAUCCAGCCAUGCCGCGUGCAGGAAGACGGCCCUAUGGGUUGUAAACUGCUUUUAUAUGGGAGCAAUAAGACCUACGUGUAGGUCGAUGAGAGUACCAUAUGAAUAAGCGCCGGCUAACUCCGUGCCAGCAGCCGCGGUAAUACGGAGGGUGCAAGCGUUAUCCGGAUUUAUUGGGUUUAAAGGGUGCGUAGGCGGUUUGAUAAGUCAGCGGUGAAAUAUUUCAGCUUAACUGGAAGGGUGCCGUUGAUACUGUCGAGCUUGAAUUUAGUUGCUGUGGGUGGAAUGUGUGGUGUAGCGGUGAAAUGCAUAGAUAUCACACAGAAUAUCGAUUGCGAAGGCAGCUCACAAAGCUAAUAUUGACGCUGAUGCACGAAAGUGUGGGGAUCAAACA